rnacentral:rRNA from 1 species
GACGAACGCUGGCGGCGUGCUUAACACAUGCAAGUCGAACGGAAAGGCCCUGCUUUUGUGGGGUGCUCGAGUGGCGAACGGGUGAGUAACACGUGAGUAACCUGCCCUUGACUUUGGGAUAACUUCAGGAAACUGGGGCUAAUACCGGAUAGGAGCUCCUGCUGCAUGGUGGGGGUUGGAAAGUUUCGGCGGUUGGGGGUGGACUCGCGGCUUAUCAGCUUGUUGGUGGGGUAGUGGCUUACCAAGGCUUUGACGGGUAGCCGGCCUGGGCGGGUGACCGGCCACAUUGGGACUGAGAUACGGCCCAGACUCCUACGGGAGGCAGCAGUGGGGAAUAUUGCACAAUGGGCGGAAGCCUGAUGCAGCAACGCCGCGUGCGGGAUGACGGCCUUCGGGUUGUAAACCGCUUUCGCCUGUGACGAAGCGUGAGUGACGGUAAUGGGUAAAGAAGCACCGGCUAACUACGUG